UUGUGUAUUUUUUAUAAAUGUGUCAUUAUUAUUUGCAAAUGGUUUUAUAAUAUUUAAUAAAAAUUUUGAUAGUUCACUACAAGGAGAAUUGAUGGUACUACAAAUAGGUCUAAGUGGAAUAUUUGCUUUGUGAAUUUUCGGUACUCCAUAAAAAUGUGGUGUCUUACUGUAAU
rnacentral:lncRNA from 1 species